GACACACGGCGGGUGCUAACGUCCGUCGUGAAGAGGGAAACAACCCAGAUCGCCAGCUAAGGUCCCAAAGUCAUGGUUAAGUGGGAAACGAUGUGGGAAGGCCCAGACAGCCAGGAUGUUGGCUUAGAAGCAGCCAUCAUUUAAAGAAAGCGUAAUAGCUCACUGGUCGAGUCGGCCUGCGCGGAAGAUGUAACGGGGCUAAACCAUGCACCGAAGCUGCGGCAGCGACGCUGAUGCGUUGUUGGGUAGGGGAGCGUUCUGUAAGCCUGCGAAGGUGUGCUGUGAGGCAUGCUGGAGGUAUCAGAAGUGCGAAUGCUGACAUAAGUAACGAUAAAGCGGGUGAAAAGCCCGCUCGCCGGAAGACCAAGGGUUCCUGUCCAACGUUAAUCGGGGCAGGGUGAGUCGACCCCUAAGGCGAGGCCGAAAGGCGUAGUCGAUGGGAAACAGGUUAAUAUUCCUGUACUUGGUGUUACUGCGAAGGGGGGACGGAGAAGGCUAUGUUGGCCGGGCGACGGUUGUCCCGGUUUAAGCGUGUAGGCUGGUUUUCCAGGCAAAUCCGGAAAAUCAAGGCUGAGGCGUGAUGACGAGGCACUACGGUGCUGAAGCAACAAAUGCCCUGCUUCCAGGAAAAGCCUCUAAGCAUCAGGUAACAUCAAAUCGUACCCCAAACCGACACAGGUGGUCAGGUAGAGAAUACCAAGGCGCUUGAGAGAACUCGGGUGAAGGAACUAGGCAAAAUGGUGCCGUAACUUCGGGAGAAGGCACGCUGAUAUGUAGGUGAGGUCCCUCGCGGAUGGAGCUGAAAUCAGUCGAAGAUACCAGCUGGCUGCAACUGUUUAUUAAAAACACAGCACUGUGCAAACACGAAAGUGGACGUAUACGGUGUGACGCCUGCCCGGUGCCGGAAGGUUAAUUGAUGGGGUUAGCGCAAGCGAAGCUCUUGAUCGAAGCCCCGGUAAACGGCGGCCGUAACUAUAACGGUCCUAAGGUAGCGAAAUUCCUUGUCGGGUAAGUUCCGACCUGCACGAAUGGCGUAAUGAUGGCCAGGCUGUCUCCACCCGAGACUCAGUGAAAUUGAACUCGCUGUGAAGAUGCAGUGUACCCGCGGCAAGACGGAAAGACCCCGUGAACCUUUACUAUAGCUUGACACUGAACAUUGAGCCUUGAUGUGUAGGAUAGGUGGGAGGCUUGAAGUGUGGACGCCAGUCUGCAUGGAGCCGACCUUGAAAUACCACCCUUUAAUGUUUGAUGUUCUAACGUUGACCCGUAAUCCGGGUUGCGGACAGUGUCUGGUGGGUAGUUUGACUGGGGCGGUCUCCUCCUAAAGAGUAACGGAGGAGCACGAAGGUUGGCUAAUCCUGGUCGGACAUCAGGAGGUUAGUGCAAUGGCAUAAGCCAGCUUGACUGCGAGCGUGACGGCGCGAGCAGGUGCGAAAGCAGGUCAUAGUGAUCCGGUGGUUCUGAAUGGAAGGGCCAUCGCUCAACGGAUAAAAGGUACUCCGGGGAUAACAGGCUGAUACCGCCCAAGAGUUCAUAUCGACGGCGGUGUUUGGCACCUCGAUGUCGGCUCAUCACAUCCUGGGGCUGAAGUAGGUCCCAAGGGUAUGGCUGUUCGCCAUUUAAAGUGGUACGCGAGCUGGGUUUAGAACGUCGUGAGACAGUUCGGUCCCUAUCUGCCGUGGGCGCUGGAGAACUGAGGGGGGCUGCUCCUAGUACGAGAGGACCGGAGUGGACGCAUCACUGGUGUUCGGGUUGUCAUGCCAAUGGCACUGCCCGGUAGCUAAAUGCGGAAGAGAUAAGUGCUGAAAGCAUCUAAGCACGAAACUUGCCCCGAGAUGAGUUCUCCCUGACCCUUUAAGGGUCCUGAAGGAACGUUGAAGACGACGACGUUGAUAGGCCGGGUGUGUAAGCGCAGCGAUGCGUUGAGCUAACCGGUACUAAUGAACCGUGAGGCUUAACCUU
rnacentral:rRNA from 1 species